rnacentral:rRNA from 1 species
AGUGAACGCUGGCGGUAGGCCUAACACAUGCAAGUCGAACGGCAGCACAGUAAGAGCUUGCUCUUACGGGUGGCGAGUGGCGGACGGGUGAGGAAUACAUCGGAAUCUACUUUUUCGUGGGGGAUAACGUAGGGAAACUUACGCUAAUACCGCAUACGACCUACGGGUGAAAGCAGGGGAUCUUCGGACCUUGCGCGAUUGAAUGAGCCGAUGUCGGAUUAGCUAGUUGGCGGGGUAAAGGCCCACCAAGGCGGCGAUCCGUAGCUGGUCUGAGAGGAUGAUCAGCCACACUGGAAGUGAGACACGGUCCAGACUACUACGGGUGGCAACAGUAGGGAAUAUUACGCAAUGGGCGAAAGCCUGACGGAACAAAGCCGCGUGAGUGAUGAAGGUCUUCGGAUCGUAAAACCCUGUUAUUAGGGAAGAACAAAUGUGUAAGUAACUAUGCAAGUUUUGACGGUACCUAAUCAGAAAGCCACGGCUAACUACGUG